rnacentral:rRNA from 1 species
UUUUUCCUACGGGGGGCAGCAGUGGGGAAUAUUGCACAAUGGGGGAAACCCUGAUGCAGCGACGCCGCGUGAGUGAAGAAGUAUUUCGGUAUGUAAAGCUCUAUCAGCAGGGAAGAAAAUGACGGUACCUGACUAAGAAGCCCCGGCUAACUACGUGCCAGCAGCCGCGGUAAUACGUAGGGGGCGAGCGUUAUCCGGAAUUACUGGGUGUAAAGGGAGCGCAGACGGCAGUGCAAGUCUGGAGUGAAAGCCCGUGGCUUAACCACGGGACUGCUCUGGAAACUGUGCAGCUAGAG